ensembl:snoRNA
AUCCUUUCGUGGUUUAUAAGUGUGAUGAUUGGGUUUUCACAUGCUCGUGUGAGAUGCGCCAUCCACAAACCUGGUUAUGACAUCGGCACUUACCCAUCUGACA